GCUCAGGAUGAACGCUGGCGGCGUGCCUAACACAUGCAAGUCGAGCGGAGAUUAAAAAGCUUGCUUUUUAAUCUUAGCGGCGGACGGGUGAGUAACGCGUGGGUAACCUGCCCUAUACACACGGAUAACAUAUCGAAAGAUAUGCUAAUACGGGAUAACACAUUUUUAAGGCAUCUUAUGAAUGUCAAAGAUUUAUCGGUAUAGGAUGGACCCGCGUCCCAUUAGCUAGUUGGUGAGGUAAAAGCUUACCAAGGCGACGAUGGGUAGCCGACCUGAGAGGGUGAUCGGCCACACUGGAACUGAGACACGGUCCAGACUCCUACGGGAGGCAGCAGUGGGGAAUAUUGCACAAUGGGGGAAACCCUGAUGCAGCAACGCCGCGUGAGCGAUGAAGGCCUUCGGGUCGUAAAGCUCUGUCCUAAGGGAAGAUAAUGACGGUACCUUAGGAG
rnacentral:rRNA from 1 species